UGAAUAAACAUACUUGGGUUGCCUCUGUUUCUUCUGUGAAUGGGAGAACACCUUACAUUAGUGCAAGGGAUGAAUAUCCAGAGAAGGCUCCCAAAGAAGAAAGAGGAGGUUUGAGUGGGGAACAGGAAGAAGAAUAUUGUAUUGUAGUUCCUUUGCUUGAACAUUUACAGUCUACUGAAUCUUGCUAUCCAGA